rnacentral:rRNA from 1 species
GAGUUUGAUCAUGGCUCAGGAUUAACGCUGGCGGCGUGCCUAACACAUGCAAGUCGAGCGGCAGCGAGUUUUACACUGAAUUCUGGAAGCUUCUAGUUGAAAGAGAAGAUUUAUUCAAGAAUUUUGUGUAAAAUGUCGGCGAGCGGCGGACGGCUGAGUAACGCGUGGGAACGUACCCCAAAGUGAGGGAUAACGCAUCGAAAGGUGUGCUAAUACCGCAUAUGGUCUUCGGAUUAAAGCCUUCGGGCGCUUUGGGAACGGCCUGCGUAAGAUUAGAUAGUUGGUGGGGUAAUGGCCUACCAAGUCGACGAUCUUUAACUGGUUUGAGAGGAUGAUCAGUCAGACUGGAACUGAGACACGGUCCAGACUCCUACGGGAGGCAGCAGUGAGGAGUCUUCCACAAUGGGCGAAAGCCUGAUGGAGCAACGCCGCGUGCAGGAUGAAGGCCUUCGGGUUGUAAACUGCUUUUAUAAGUGAUGAUUAUGACAGUAACUUAUGAAUAAGGAUCGGCUAACUACGUGCCAGCAGCCGCGGUCAUACGUAGGAUCCGAGCGUUAUCCGGAGUGACUGGGCGUAAAGAGUUGCGUAGGUGGUUUAAUAAGCGAAUAGUGAAAUCUGGUGGCUCAACCAUUCAGACUAUUAUUCGAACUGUUGAACUCGAGAGCAGAAGAGGUAGCUGGAAUUUCUAGUGUAGGAGUGAAAUCCGUAGAUAUUAGAAGGAACACCGAUGGCGUAGGCAGGCUACUGGGCUGUUUCUGACACUGAGGCACGAAAGCGUGGGGAGCGAACCGGAUUAGAUACCCGGGUAGUCCACGCCGUAAACGAUGGAUACUAGCUGUUUGGGGUAUCGACCCCCUGAGUAGCGAAGCUAACGCGUUAAGUAUCCCGCCUGUGGAGUACGAUCGCAAGAUUAAAACAUAAAGGAAUUGACGGGGACCCGCACAAGCGGUGGAUCAUGUUCUUUAAUUCGAUGAUAACCGAUAAACCUUACCAGGUCUUGACAUCCUUGGAAUCUUUCAGAAAUGAGAGAGUGCUUUUUAAGAGCCAAGUGACAGGUGAUGCAUGGCCGUCGUCAGCUCGUGUCGUGAGAUGUUUGGUUAAGUCCAUCAACGAGCGCAACCCUUGUCAGUAGUUGUAUUUUUCUACUGAGACUGCCCCGGUAACGGGGAGGAAGGAGGGGAUGACGUCAGGUCAGUAUUUCCCUUACGUCCUGGGCUAGAAACGUGAUACAAUGGCUAGUACAAUGCGCAGCGAAGCCGCGAGGUGAAGCAAAUCGCAUCAAAGCUAGUCCCAGUUCGGAUUGUAGGCUGAAACUCGCCUGCAUGAAGUCGGAAUCGCUAGUAAUCGCAGAUCAGCAUGCUGCGGUGAAUACGUUCCCGGGUCUUGCACACACCGCCCGUC